rnacentral:rRNA from 1 species
GCCAAAAACCUAGCCCACCCCCUCCCCCGAAUACUUCCCAUUACUUUACCCUUUCCCUAAAACAUUUUUUCAAUCUAGUAAAGGCGAUAAAAAAAUUUAUUGGAGCUAUACUGUCAGUACCGCAAGGGAAAGAUGAAAUAGAAAUGAAAUAAACAAUCAAGCACAAAAAAGUAAAGACUCAACCUUGUACCUUUCGCAUUAUGACUUAUCUAGUCUUGUUCAAGCAAAAUGAAUUUAAGUUUGACUUCCCGAAACUAGACGAGCUACUCCAAGGCAACUUUAAGAGCUAACCCGUCUCUGUCGCAAAAGAGUGGGAAGACCUUCGAGUAGAGGUGACAGACCAACCGAGUCUAGAGAUAGCUGGUUACCCAAUAAAAGAAUUUUAGUUCAACCUAAAGCUAAACAAUGAAUACAAACACCUUGCUUUAGAGCUAUUCAAAUAAGGUACAGCUUAUUUGAGACAGGACACAACCUAAGCUAACGGGUUACUCCUCUAGCAAUGCACCAAAGUAGGCUUAAAAGCAGCCAUCUUUCUAACAGCGUCAAAGCUUACCUGCCCCUGCACUCAAUCCCUAAAGAAAAUUUCUAACCCUUUCCCGACACUGGGUGAUUCUAUAACCUUAUAAAAUACAUUAUGUUAAGACUAGUAACAAGAAGAAAACCCCUUCUCUUUAAUGCAAGUGUAAAACAGAAAGGAUAACCCACUGUUGAUUAACAUACAUGACCCUCAAUUAGCAACACCGCAAGAAAACCCUAAUAUAAUAAAUGUUAACCUAACACAAGAGCAUUACAAGAAAGAUUCAAAAUAAAGGAAGGAACUCAGCAAAUUAUCAACCCCGCCUGUUUACCAAAAACAUCGCCUCUUGAGCUAAUAAGAGGUCCAGCCUGCCCAGUGACCCAGUUUAACGGCCGCGGUAUCCUAACCGUGCG